AAGUCGUAACAAGGUUUCCGUAGGUGAACCUGCGGAAGGAUCAUUACCACUUAAAAAAAUAAUCCAAAACCUUUAACCCAACCCACGUCCCGUGUGAAAUGUGUUCCCUUUCUUUUUCUUUUUCUGUCGAGUUCAAAAAGAGAAAAAAAAAGAAAAAACAUGUGAACGUUCAGUGUGAGGAGAAACGGGGUUCUCGAAAUUCCUCUCCUCGCCUGAAUGCUUCCAUGUUCUUCUUCUUCUUCUUCUUCUCUUUUCGACUUCACAAAAAAGAAAAAAGUUUGAGCCCCCACGUCCCUUUGAAAAUAAGUUGGAAAAAAAAGACAUGUUUUUUUGGAAAAAACAUUAACUGAGAGACAACUUUUAACGGUGGAUCUCUUGGCUCGU
rnacentral:misc_RNA from 1 species